UACGGGGGGUGCAAGCGUUGUUCGGAAUCAUUGGGCGUAAAGCGCGUGUAGGCGGCUUGGUAAGUCAGGUGUGAAAGCCCUGGGCUCAACCCAGGAAGUGCACUUGAAACUGCCUUGCUUGAGUACGGGAGAGGAAAGCGGAAUUCCUGGUGUAGAGGUGAAAUUCGUAGAUAUCAGGAGGAACACCGGUGGCGAAGGCGGCUUUCUGGCCCAAUACUGACGCUGAGACGCGAAAGCGUGGGGAGCAAACAGG
rnacentral:rRNA from 1 species